UACGGAGAGUUUGAUCCUGGCUCAGGACGAACGCUGGCGGCGUGCUUAACACAUGCAAGUCGAACGGAAAGGCCCUGCUUUUGUGGGGUGCUCGAGUGGCGAACGGGUGAGUAACACGUGAGUAACCUGCCCUUAACUCUGGGAUAAGCCUGGGAAACUGGGUCUAAUACCGGAUAGGAGCGUCCACCGCAUGGUGGGUGUUGGAAAGAUUUAUCGGUUUUGGAUGGACUCGCGGCCUAUCAGCUUGUUGGUGAGGUAAUGGCUCACCAAGGCGACGAUCCGUAACUGGUCUGAGAGGAUGAUCAGUCACACUGGAACUGAGACACGG
rnacentral:rRNA from 1 species